rnacentral:rRNA from 1 species
GACGAACGCUGGCGGCGUGCUUAACACAUGCAGGUCGUACGGUAAGGCCCUUUCGGGGGUACACGAGUGGCGAACGGGUGAGUAACACGUGAGUAACCUGCCCACAACUUUGGGAUAACGCUAGGAAACUGGUGCUAAUACUGGAUAUGUGCUCCUGCUGCAUGGUGGGGGUUGGAAAGCUCCGGCGGUUGUGGAUGGACUCGCGGCCUAUCAGCUUGUUGGUGGGGUAGUGGCCUACCAAGGCGGCGACGGGUAGCCGGCCUGAGAGGGUGACCGGCCACAUUGGGACUGAGAUACGGCCCAGACGCCUACGGGAGGCAGCAGUGGGGAAUAUUGCACAAUGGGCGCAAGCCUGAUGCAGCAACGCCGCGUGCGGGAUGACGGCCUUCGGGUUGUAAACCGCUUUCAGCAGGGACGAAGCUUUUUGUGACGGUACCUGCAGAAGAAGCACCGGCUAACUACGUG